AUGAGCCAAGGUGCAGGGCUUGUUAACUUCGCUGACGUGUAGUUCGUCGGACUAUGUGCUGUUUGAGUUGUCGAACGCGAGUCACGUCGCUGCUGGCAAGUUGUCCAGGAAACUGCCCAGGUAACGCCGGAUACCAGCGCUAUGUAGCCAGGUCACAUGUAAUGAAUCUAAGAAUACCUCUUCCAGCAAGGAAUUCUAACUGAACAGGGCAAACAUAACAAAGACAGAGCUUUGUGGCCAUUUCGUCGAUCAUGGCAAGUUCAGGAAGGUGGUGGAUGGACUACAGCGACCUACCGUAACACCACUGUCUACUUCUUGAAAUGUCAGUGACUGAAGGGUUUAUAAGGUGUCACACCAAGAAACGACUGCACUCUGAGCCGAAUAUGGUAUCCUCUAAUCACACUGGCUGUGGGGCAUGCCAAAAAUGUGAUGUCACAUGCUGGAAAUAACUGUGCAUGUGUGUGCAAAUGUGCACAUGCCUAUUGAUGUAUGUGUAAGCACAUCUGUCUACUGGAACAAAAGAGAAAAGUCAUUAUAGCAGUACAAAUUCCUCAAUAGCUGAUUCUCACAGUAUCAAAAGCUUCAGGCAAAAACUUUAUGACGGGAAAAUUGGUGUGAAACUGCCUUGAGGGAAUGACUGCAGUCCCGUUUUGGCACUUAUCAUUCUUUAAACAGUCCAUUCCACUGAGUGAAGCCCCACCAAAUUUCCUGUGCACUGACACCAUGGUCUGGGGACAAACUUCGAAUGAAAUCACAUUCCUGUCAUUGUUAGGCGGUCAUAGUCAUGCAUAGCAAGACCCAGAAACAUAAUGGCUUCUAACUUUUGACUCUCCCUCCGCAACAAUGCGACUUAGUGUUUUCAGAGGACACAGGAAGAAACAGGAAUAACAGUACGCAGCCAUGCUAGCAGCUUUGUGAGGCUGAACCUAGGCAAAGUCCUGCUUUGAGCUAAAUGUUAAUGUCUGCAUCAUAUGACAAAGCUAACAUUUUGAUGUUAAGCACAUAUAAUGCUAACCGUGUUCACCAGCUCAGUUAAGCACGUCAGCACGCUAACAUUUUUUCUAAUUGGCACCAAAAACAAAGUACAUCUGAGGCUUUUGGACAAAUGAAAGUUUUUACCAGGUGACAGCGCUAGGUGAAAUGUCAGGGGAUCACCCAAGUUUUUAGGAUUCAUCCAGAGAGAUGAAUCAAUAUCUUAAUUUCUAAUCUAUUCUAUCUAAAUUUCACUCAAAGGCAGUAGGAUUUAGUAUCUGGCGACGAUUAAUGUCUGUACCAAAUUAUGUGCCGAUCUACCCAGUAAGUGAGAUAUUUUAUCCGAGGGGUGAAAAAGUCCUAUGGGCACCAUGGAUAUCUGUACCAAAUUUUUACGUCAAUCCAUCAAAUAGUUUUGGAGCCAUUUCACUGAAAAAUAAACCCGUGAACCUCAUGGCACCACAAUCAGGGGAUCACCAAAGUCAUUAGUAUACGUCACCUUGGAACCAUGAAUGUCUGUACAAAAUUUUGUGCCAAUCCAUCCAACAGUUGCUGAGAUAAAUCAGUCUGGACCGAUAUGGUGGAAUUUUUUGUGGCUGACUAUAGUCAGCAGAGAUAAAGGUUUCACCACCGCAGUAAUAAAGGGCAGAGGUGCUCAGUGUGUCUGUGGUAGACUGAGAGACUCAGUGUUGUCAGAGUCAAAGGGUCAAGACCCUGUGCUGGCCCCCACAACGGAGAAGUGAAGCUGCUGGGAGAUAGAGCCCCAGAGGGAGAAGACUGAAGAGACCUCUAAUUGCUGCCCACAUCUGCCAAAAUGUUGUUUUCAGCUGUGCAAAGGGGUGGAUUGGAGGGUGACUUUGAUGAUAGCGUGUUGAUUAUACUCACAUGCUCCCAUGAAUGUAUCAGAAAA